rnacentral:rRNA from 1 species
UACGUAGGGGGGCGAGCGUUGUCCCGGAGUUACUGGGCGUAAAGCGCACGCAGGCGGUCUGCUAAGUUUGGAGUGACAGUUGGUGGCUUAACUGCCAAAGUGCUUCGAAAACUGACAGACUUGAGGGCUUCAGAGGGACACGGAAUUCCCGGUGUAGCAGUGAAAUGCGUAGAUAUCGGGAGGAACACCAGUGCGAAGGCGGCCUUCUGGACCGAGUGACUGACGCUCAUGCACGAAAGCGUGGGGAGCAAACAGG